UCGAAAGGUAAAUCUUCGGUUGCCGC
rnacentral:sRNA from 1 species